rnacentral:rRNA from 1 species
ACGGAGGCAGCAGUUGGGGAUAUUGCACAAUGGGGGAAACCCUGAUGCAGCGACGCCGCGUGAGCGAUGAAGUAUUUCGGUAUGUAAAGCUCUAUCAGCAGGGAAGAAAAUGACGGUACCUGACUAAGAAGCACCGGCUAAAUACGUGCCAGCAGCCGCGGUAAUACGUAUGGUGCAAGCGUAAUCCGGAUUUACUGGGUGUAAAGGGAGCGUAGACGGCAUGGCAAGCCAGAUGUGAAAUGCGGGGGCUCAACCCCUGAACUGCAUUUGGAACUGUCAAGCUAGAGUAUCGGAGAGGUAAGUGGAAUUCCUAGUGUAGCGGCGAAAUGCGUAGAUAUUAGGAGGAACACCAGUGGCGAAGGCGGCUUACUGGACGAUAACUGACGUUGAGGCUCGAAAGCGUGGGGAGCAAACAGGAUUAGAUACCCUGGUA